AUUUAGGGAUUUUUUGACCCUAGCCUAUGUUUAUAAUCUUCGAUGACAGUCAAGGACCGACGAGUUUACACAAUGGUGCAAUAAAGCGUUGAGUAGCAUACAGACGUCUGUGGAUAUCCCUACAUUUCUUGGAUUUGUGCGGGACGUUGAAUCGGCACAUGAGGUUAAAAAUUACGUUCGCCUGUAUCUUGGUGACACUAAGCAGAGCACGGAAUUUGAUAAGCAAUUCCUGGAGAAACGAAGCAAGUGGCGAUCAGCGCAACGUUCUCAGGCACAAGCGGAUGAUCUGUGUAAGCCAGCGCUGGCAGUUAAUCCAAAUGCACCUGCACAAUUUCAGGAAGUAAAGGGAAAAUCCAAGAAACCAAAGAAGGGAUAGAUAUUCAAAGUAGAUAACAGAAUUCUUGGCUUCAGUGUAACCGCGGCACCCGAUCGUAUUAAUGUAGGUGACCGCGAUUACGGUGAAGGAGCCUGAGCUGUUUCGUCAGUUUACCUCAUGGAAAUGAUGUGUCACUCGAUUCAUCAAACAGUUCGUUAUUUAUUUAUUGUAAUCAAUACAUGCCAAAGGAUGCUGAGAGUCCCACCAUGGGUAUUUCUUAAGAUAUAUAAAGACUUUUUAUGAUCCACACACGUGAACGAAGAACUUAUCCCCCCAAAGGCGAUCAUUGAUGAUUGUCUUCAAUCAGGAUCGACCGAGCGUGGUGUUAUUUUCUUACAUUAUAUACAAGAAUUCCAUUGUACAUAUUAUUCAAAGAAGAAUAUUUCAAGAAAGAAGGCGAAUUUACUUUUUCUUAUGUACAUGACAAUUAGGGUUGGAAACUUUUAUAACAUUUCAUCGUCAUUGCGUCAUUUAAAGUACAACAGAUAAAAAGGAAGAUAAAAUAUGCCGAUCGAUAAAUUGUGCAUGUGUGGAAACAUGGUAGUCAAUAGCAAUAUGUGUAUGUAAAGAUUUUCAAUGAAAAUGAUGAUUAAAACAUACUUGUGAAGACGGCGGAAAUGACCGUAUUUGUAAGCAUAAUAUUGAAUGUACAGUGCGUCAGAUGUUUUUACUAAACAUAUUUAAUACAACGUGAAUCCUAUGGAUUUUCAUCCAGAAGAAAGAGA